rnacentral:rRNA from 1 species
GACGAACGCUGGCGGCGUGCUUAACACAUGCAAGUCGAGCGAUGAAGCACCUUCGGGUGUGGAUUAGCGGCGAACGGGUGAGGAACACGUGAGGAAUCUGCCUUCCACUCUGGGAUAACUCCGGGAAACCGGGGCUAAUACCGGAUAUUUUCAACUGGCGGCAUCGCCGGUUGAAGAAAGUUUUUCGGUGGAAGAUGACCUCGCGGCCUAUCAGCUUGUUGGUGAGGUAAAGGCUCACCAAGGCGACGACGGGUAGCCGGCCUGAGAGGGUGACCGGCCACACUGGGACUGAGACACGGCCCAGACUCCUACGGGAGGCAGCAGUGGGGAAUAUUGGGCAAUGGAGGAAACUCUGACCCAGCGACGCCGCGUGAGGGAUGAAGGCCUUCGGGUUGUAAACCUCUUUCAGCAGGGAAUAAGCGAAAGUGAAGGUACCUGCAGAAGAAGCACCGGCUAACUAUGUGCCAGCAGCCGCAGUAA